UUCGAUCCUUAUCUUUCAGCUUGCUUAAACUUCCCAAUCCUGUGCCUUUCCAACAUCAAGAGCUCUAUGCCUAAAGGAGCUGCAAUUCAUAGACAAAUCUGGAUCAGAGAAGCUUACCUGCCAUAUUGGUACCAAGCACUCAGCUUUCAGGCACCUUGUGCAGCUGAGUGGAGAGAAGGGCAGAGCCUUCCUCAAGUUGGUAGUGCCUGGUGCAGUUCUGGCCAGAAACAGAGUGACACCUUGCUCAUCACAUUGCUUGCUCUGCUGCCCAUGUAGAGAGGACAGCAUCAGAAGUGCUGUCUGCAAGUCACCCAGGUUACCUCUGCUAACACUCUAUGCAAGAUAGAGAGAUGUGAAACCCUUUCCACCAUCUCGUGACACUACCCUUAAAUUAUCGUUCCCGU
rnacentral:lncRNA from 1 species